GAUAAUUAAUGUUUAUUCAUUUCUUAAAUGGUCAGAAUGAAGAAUGCUGAAUAUUUUGACACCGUAAUGUUAUGUUGCAGACACCAAGUGACCUGACUGAACCCUCUGGAGACCAUGAAUGGAAUGAGAGAUCCACUUCAUUCUUACAACAGACACCGAGUGACCUGACUGAACCCUCUGGAGACCAUGAAUGGAAUGAUAGAUACACUUCAUCCUUACAACAGACACCAAGGGACCUGACUGAACCCUCUGGAGACCAUGAAUGGAGUGAGAGAUCCACUUCAUCCUUUCAACAG